CCUACGGGUGGCAGCAGUAGGGAAUUUUCGUCAAUGGGCGCAAGCCUGAACGAGCAAUGCCGCGUGAACGAGGAAGGUCUUCGGAUCGUAAAGUUCUGUUGAAGGGGAAAAAGAUCGGAGAGAGUAAAUGCUUUCUGAUUGAUAUUACCCUUCGAGGAAGUCACGUCUAACUACGUGCCAGCAGCCGCGGUAAUACGUAGGUGGCGAUCGUUAUCCGGAAUGUUUGGGCGUAAAGGGUGCGUAGGCGGCCUGCUAAGUCUGGAGUGAAAGGUAGCGGCUCAACCGCUACAGGCUCUGGAAAAUGGUGGGGUAGAGAGGAGGGGAGGGGGGUGGAAAUCCAUGGGUAGCGGUAAAAAGCGUGGAUAUAUGGAAGAAAAUCAGGGGCGAAGGGGGGCGCCUGGGCUGUUAACUGACGCUGAGGCACGAAAGCGUGGGGAGCAAAUAGGAUUAGAUACCCGAGUAGUC
rnacentral:rRNA from 1 species